GCAAACUUGGUCAUUUAGAGGAAGUAAAAGUCGUAACAAGGUUUCCGUAGGUGAACCUGCGGAAGGAUCAUUAUUGAUUUUUUCAAGGAUGUGCUGGCUUCUCAUAGGGGCAAUGUGCACUCCUAACAAAAACCAAUAUCCACCUGUGCACUCCCAGUAGACCAAUGACUUUGACGAGUCCUUUGUCUAUGUUUCCUUUUACAAACACUUGGCCUAUUUGAAUGAAUACAUAAUAACAUAAUUGUAAUACAACUUUCAACAAUGGAUCUCUUGGUUCUCGCAUCGAUGAAGAACGCAGC
rnacentral:misc_RNA from 1 species